GCACCUGGAACGCAGGACAGGGCACCCGUCACGAGGGUAGUCAGGGCGGCAGUGAGACCACUCUGAGCCCAGCCCAGUGAGAGCUGCUGACACCAGGACCCCGCGGAAAGCCUGGGAAGGUAAAGCACACAGCAGGCCUGACCAGCAGGACUCGGGAGGGCUGUGUCCUCCCCUCAGCCCUGCCGCACUGGCAGCUGCUGGGAGGGCAAGCGUUGGCACUGGCCCAGCUCAUGCUCCCUUCGCUCAAUGUGUUUCAGGUCCCUGAGGGCCCAGGCAGACCUACCCCCUACCCUCUUGGGUAAAGGUGUUCAGUGGAGGGUCUCCAGAGAUUUCCUACCGGCCUGCCUUCUGGCUCCCGAGGUCCACGAAGAGAAAGGCCACCAGCUGCUCUGGGCCGAGGCUGGCCCUGGACAGACUGGUUUGGAGGAAGGGCUGCUUCCCUGGACAGACUGGUUUGGAGGAAAGGCUGCCCUUUUUUCCUGACAGGAAGCAUGGGAGGACCAAACCAGGAGUCCAGCCUGCUCGAUGGGUGUUCAUUUGGGGGAAAACCAGCAGGAACAAAGGAGACACAGCAGUCUACUUGGGUACCAAGGCGGCGCUCCAGACCUCUUGUGCCCAGACCCAGCAAGAAGGCUGCACUUGGCCUGCUCACCUGACACUCCUCCCUUUCUGAAGCAGCGUCCAGACUCCAUUAGGGCCCCGGUAAUCUGGAAUAGAGGCUGCCUGCAUGUUCAGAAAAAAGGCUGAGCUGCCUGACCCCAGAUGGAGCAUCCCCCAGCAGGGCUCCUUCAUUCUGCCUGGACUCCCCUUCCCACCCGGCCCAACUCAGCCCUCCAGGCUCAGCAGCGCCCUGCCCUCGCUCCGGGAGCCUCUCUAGCACUGAGCAGACCUGGGCUCCGUGACUACGUGUGUCCCCCACACUGUGGGGAGCUGGUCAGGUACGUGCAUGGCCCCAGGACCUGGCCCAGUGCUCAGAUGUUUAGCAAAGGGCGAAUCUCCAGGUUGGGGCACUGCUUUGCCCAAAUUCUUACAUCCCAAUGCUGAGUAAUUCCUGCUCAAUCUUUUUGCAUUUUUAAGGGAGCCCCCGGGGUCUGUUCCAUCCAAACACUGUUGAAGCAAGAGACAGAUCCACGGGACCGCCAAACGCACUGCCUCCCACUCAAUCUUAACAAAGGUAAGACAACUGCUCCAGAUGAGAUAAACAUCUAAUUUGCCAAGUUUCCCAUCCAGUGAAACAAAAUGAUGCCGAGAGGAAAAAAACAGAAGGUAUGCCAGAAUCAGAGACUUGUGUUCCCUUCUGGGGAAGUCGUGUCCCUUCACUGCUGCUUAAACUCAGAAAAAUGCCCACCCUGAUCACUGGUUCUGUCGCAUUCAAGAGGGGAACCUCAAAUAGUAACAUUCAGAUCAAACUGAUUAGGGGCAUGUGGCUGUCAGCUGCCCCUGGAAGCUCUGUAAGAAGUGACAUUGCUGCUGUUACAUAACUGCGUGACUGGAUGUGCACAUGUGGCCGUGGAGGGAAGACACCCAAAGGCUAGAGCUCCAGGUUAUCUAUGAAUUGGAGCAGUGAACUCACCUCACACAUUGUCGCUCUUGUGCCUCUGCUGUUACCUUUGUUUGGAGUGCCUGGCCCCCCACCUUCAGCUGUACACGUCAUCAUUCCUUCAAGGCCACCUCCCGCAAAUCCCCCCAGCCUCCCAUGGGUUUCCUAGCUCUGAGACAACAGUGUGCAUCUGGAUUUCUGUUUCCGAGACCCCAGCAUAGUCAGCCUUACGUCAUGGGUAUUUGCUCACAUGCCUGAUUAUCGUCACCUAAGGGCUUCCUGAGUAUGCAGAUCACUUGGUGUUCAGCUCUGCUGGGCCUACACAUGCCUAAGACUCCACACUUGCCCAUCGGAUUAGAUGGACAAUGUGCCAGUCCCACUCUCAAAGACACUGAUGUCCCACAGCCCAGGAUACCUUCCCAGUGAAAGGUCUCAAAAUAAUGCAGGGAGGCUGAGCCAGGAAGAUCGAUCACGUGAGCCCAGG